AGUGAACGCUGGCGGUAGGCCUAACACAUGCAAGUCGAACGGCAGCACAGUAAGAGCUUGCUCUUACGGGUGGCGAGUGGCGGACGGGUGAGGAAUACAUCGGAAUCUACUUUUUCGUGGGGGAUAACGUAGGGAAACUUACGCUAAUACCGCAUACGACCUACGGGUGAAAGCAGGGGAUCUUCGGACCUUGCGCGAUUGAAUGAGCCGAGGUCGGAUUAGCUAGUUGGCGGGGUAAAGGCCCACCAAGGCGACGAUCCGUAGCUGGUCUGAGAGGAUGAUCAGCCACACGGGAAGUGAGACACGGUCCAGACUCCGACGGGAGGCAGCAGUGGGGAAUAUUGGACGAUGGGCGCAAGCCUAAUCCAGCCAUACCGCGUGGGUGAAGAAGGCGUUCGGGUUGUAAAGCCAUGUUGUUGGGAAAGAAAAGCAGCAGGUUAAUACCCCGCGGUUCUGACGGUACCCAAAGAAUAAGCACCGGCUAACUUCGUG
rnacentral:rRNA from 1 species